UGUAAUAAAUACUCGUUGAUCGCUCAGCAGUCAUCCUACCUGCAUUCUAAUCCCAGCUCUAGCAUUUAAUAUUUUGGAUGAACUGUGUGACUUUACUGGGCCUGGUUUUCCCCUCUGUUAAACUGGAAAAGAGGGGGCAUUGACUAGAUUAGCUUGGCUUUUUUAAGUUAGAGACCUCUUUGAGAUUUCGGUGAGCACUAUCAACUUACUGCAUGUGAAAAUGCACCAGCAUCAAAAAUAAUAAAAUAAUUACACUCAGCAAAAGAAAUGCAAGAUUUAUACACUAAAAAACUUUAAAACUGUAGUUUGAAGUGAGGUUCUGCCAGAUUCUGAGCCCAGGCUUAAGAAAUUGGCAGCUUCCAUUUCCUGUGUCUUGGAGCAUUUAUUCUUAGAAGCCGUCCGCCAUGCUGUGAGGAAGCACAAGCUGUCCUACAGAGAAAUCUACAUGGAGAAGAGCCAAGGCCUCCCAGCUACAGCCCCCUGUGAGCUCCUGGCUGAUGGCCAGCACAGACUUGACAGACACGUGAGUGAGCCAUCUUGGAAACUGGAUCCAGGCCCAGAUAAGCUGCCCCAGCUGAUGACUCCUGAGCAGAGAGACAGAAAAUAUGAAUGGGUCUCCUGGGAAAAGAGGGUUUGUUUUCUUUGCAAGUUAAGCACCUCACCAAUGGAUCAACUCACUAGGUCACUGAUUACCCUCAAGAAGCUGAUCAAAGGCCCGACAACCACAGUGCCCGCCAGCAGCAAGGGGAAAGACCACUGAAUGAAGGAUUUGAUAAAGACCACAUGUCUUAUGCCAUCUGGGAACUUUAUAUUGACUCAGGUUUCUAGAACUAAUCUAUAAUUUGCUUGUGGAAAGGCUGGAUGGAUUGAACUGUAUACAUUUUACUACAGAGGGUAGUAAGAACUAUCUUGGUUGAGAAAAAUAAAAGGAAAUAUCUUUCUGUGAUCUUCCAUGUUUCACUGUCAAAAACUCUAAGGAAAGAAGAUCAGUGGAGCAUAGAUUGGCUGUCCAAAUAAACUUAAAAAAUCUCAAGUAAGAAGAGAGAUAAAUGUUACCUUGAAAACUUGAUCAACUCAAAUACAUACAGACUAGGAAGCAUUAUAGGCUUCAAUUAAAAUACUGUGUAUAUGUGUGACAGUUUCAUACCUUGGUACUCGUACUUAGGAUAGAAUAUGGAAGAAUCGCCAAAAAAUCAUCAAAUGAAGGCUGACUCAAAACCAAGAUCUAUGGGGCUUCCCUGGUGGCACAGUGGUUGAGAAUCUGCCUGCCAAUGCAGGGGACACGGGUUCGAGCCCUGGUCUGGGAAGAUACCACAUGCCACGGAGCAACUAGGCCCGUGAGCCACAACUACUGAGCCUGCGUGUCUGGAGCCUGUGCUCUACAACAAGAGAGCCCGCGAUAGUGAGAGGCCCACGCACCGCGAUGAAGAGUGGUCCUGGUCCCUGCUUGCCGCAACUAGAGAAAGCCCUCGCAC